UCUUGGUCUUGCGCCAACUCGCGGAUCGGCGCCUUGGCAGCUUUGGAUGUGGUCGCCGCAGUACCUUCGCGCCUCGGCAGAAACUGCUCGUUGUGGCCCUCUCGAUUGAUGUUGCUCACCUGGGCAGACACAGAAUGCCCGCGUGGUCACAUCUUCGACAAGCCGUGAUGUUUGAGUCGGUCUUGGCCAGCAGUAUUUGGCAGUAUGGGCAAAGGGGGUUUUGUGUUUCCUUUCCUUUACAUCUAUCAGUUCGGAGAGUACUUCCAUCAGAUGCACCAUUCUUACAAGCCGGUGAUGGUUCGGUUGCAGAUUUUGAAAGGAACAGACAGAUAUCAAAUCUUCGGAUGCUGGAUUGUAGGAAGGUGGGUAAUGGGUAAAGUCCAUCUGUAUCUCCACUAUGAUGGCAUCAGCGGAAGUGCCAUAUAUAUCAGUAUCUGGUUCCAAACACUAAACUUACUCUUAGAAGUUUGCUGCUCAUCACUUUCUCGUGUUCCCAUGUAGAAUGUUGAAUUAGCUCUUAUUCUGUACUCCCUCCAUUCCUUAUUAAUUGACUCUGAUUUAUUACAACUUUUUACUAAAUCAGAGUCAAUUAAUAGGGAACAGAGGGAGUACUUGCUUGCUUAUAUCACACCCUUUUCAUGCUACCCCCUACAAAAAGAUUGGCAAUUGAAAUUCUUUGGACAGUUAAUCAACAGUUGACAAAGAACAUUCAACCUGCUGUCAACGAUGUCUAGUCUUAUUCACUUGCAUUUCUUUUCACAUUCAAUGACAUGACACUUUCCUUUGAAUCUUUUACUAGUUCAUUGCUCUCUGAUCUGCUUAUAUUUUGAUUAGUUUUUAUUUAACCUUUUGUUGUGUCGAAUAAGAUUGUACAUGGAUCUGUCGAUGUCGAACUAUUCUUAGAGGCUGCACUUGGUUUAUAUUGUGGAAAAGUAAACAAACCUGACAGGCUAAAGGCUCUUUUACUUCUUGCACGCUCCAUUGAGGCAGAUCCAAGCACAGUUAUCCUGUGGGUGUUUUAUCUUCAUAUUUACUAUCAAAAGGAUGAAGGACUUGGAACAUUUUAAGUGAACUGCAGGAGGGUGGGCGGAGGGCGCGCUCAGCGGUGCUCUGGCAUCCUGCUCGACAAGGAAGAGGGUUUGGCGUCGGGGACGGGAACCUGGCUGCGGCGUCGGAUGCAUGGCGCAGCUGGCGCAACUUCCUCUGGCCGCGCGAUGAGGCAUAUGGCCGCGCGGCGAGGCAGGGCCCAAACUCCAUGACAACUUUCUUCCUCGGCGGCAGAUGAACCCUGUUGUUCAUGAUGUGGAGAUGAACCCUGUCGUGUAUUUUAUCUAAUGGUUUCAAACCAUGUUGUUCAUGAUGUGGAGAUGAACCCUGUUGGUCAUGUAAGUUAGAUGCCUGGAUUGUGAAUCCUUGAAUGUUUCAAAAUGUUGGUUUCAAACCUAGAUUGCUUGGAAAUAUUGGUUUUAAACA